UAAAAAAUAUGGACUCUUUUCGGUCUCUCAUGUCAUUGCUCUGUUUGUGUCUGUAUGGAUCUGUGUUUUUGUAUUUGCCUGACAAGCAAGGAUUCCACAUGCUUUUCUUGUGACUUCACAGUGUACUACAUUUGUGACCCUGGACCACAAAACCAGUCAUAAGGGUAAAUUUUUCAUAUCUGAAAGCUGAAUAAAUGAUGUAUGGUUUACUAUGAUAGGAUAAUAUUUGGCCGAGAUACAACUAUUUGAAAUCUGGAAUCUGUGGGUACAAAGAAAUCAAAAUAUUGAGAAAAUCACCUUUAAAGUUGUGCACAAUGCAUAUUACUAAUCAAAAAAUAAGUUUUGAUAUAUUUAUAGUAGGAAUUUUACAAAAUAUCUUCACGGAACGUGAUCUUUACUUAAUUUCCUAAUGAUUUUUUGGCAUAAAAAAAUCAAUAAUUUUGAACCAUACAAUGUAUUUUUUGGCUAUUGCCACAAAUAUACCCCAGCGACUGGUUUUAUGGUCCAGAGUCACAUUUAAGGUGUUCAUUUGACCUCAUUGUUUUAGGGAGGAAGCGGUAAGUGGUUCUAGUAAAUCUGUGUGGGGUUUUUUUUUUUGCUGGUAAGAACGUGUCUGUGGUAUUUGCUAAGACAAACGUCACAACAACAACUAGAAGUGCCAAAAGUACAGAGUGUUCCUCUUUUUACGGGCCCUUCGACAAUUCAAACAAUAAAGACAAUAGCAAAACUGUUUUUGGCCAAAAAUGUUCAUAUCCAAUCCUAUUCCAAAGUUUUUCUUAUUUUAGUUCUGUUGGAUGUGUGCUGUUCUUGGCUGUUUCUCCAGAUGACCUUUGGUUUUUCUCCUUGAAGGUGCUCAACAGGCUCAGCUACCAACGUCUGAACGUACUAAAUCUAAAUCACUGCUUGGGAAUCUCCGUCAAGCACUCUCUCGUAAUCAUGUUGUAGCAGUUUCCAAAAACAUUAAAUGCUCAACGAAGGACAAUUAUUCCGUA